CUUGAAAGCAAAGCUUAAGAUCAAUUGGCAAUAAGGUCAAGGUGUUUCUUUUUUUAUGUUAGUUAUUUGUUACCAAACCAACAAAACAAAAUACUUUAACCCAUUACUUGUUUCCUCUUUUUUUCUGGUUCCAAAGAUCAACCAAUAGAGAUUUAAUUACCAUUUAAUCGAUUGCAAUUGACCAUCAUCCUAUUCAACUGACCUUAACUUGAAUCUUCUGCUGCCUUUUUUCAUCACUUUACCUUUCUACUUAUCCUCUUUUGUCAAUUGUCUCUUUGGUCUUCAUCAUCUCUUCAUACACAUCAGCAGCAACAUUAACCAUUUUAAUAGUGAUUAUCGUCAACAACAAAAAUAAAGUCAACGAUCCUUAAAUAUCUUUCCAAUUUGGCUUCUCUUCACUAACAGCGAGGCAAUUUAAAGCAAUUUCCCAGUUUUUUAUUUGAAUGUAACUUUGGUGUAAACACUGUAAGAAAAAUGAAAACAUUUUUCUCCAACUUCUUUAUCCAUGGAAGAUGAACAGGUACAAGAUAAAGGGAAAAGGUGUGUGGGUCAAUCUUGAAGCCCUUAAACCUCCUAAGACUCACCUUAACGUUAAAAAUGACGGUGGUGGUGAUGAUCAAGAAGAGAAAAGAAGAAGAAGUAGAAAGGAAUUGGGUUGAGCUAAAAAGGAGAAAAAGAAAGAUGAAAAAAAACUCUCGUCAUUCAUAGAGACACAUUAUUAUUCGGUGAAAUGAUUUUUUUCAUCAUCUUCAAGGAAACUUAUUUUCUUAUCAUCAUCAUCAUCAUCAUCAUCCUUCGUUGUUGAUGUCUUAAGAGUGUUGAGAUUGGGAGGUAAUCAGACGAAAGAAAAUCCAAAUGAAAUAUCAAAAGAAGAAUGAAAAAAUAACUGAAAACAUUUAAGUUACCUUUCAAAAGUUGAGGUUAAAUUUCAAGAAAAGCAAUAGAAAGCUAUUGGCCAGCGGAAGAAAGCAAAGACUAACCCAAAAUGGCCAAUACUUUGACGGACAAUACUAAUCAUUUUCAAACCAGAGAAAUGUUGCUCAAAUUGUGUCAAAGUUAAUUUAAAUGAUGAUUUGCUGUUGCUUUGGUCGAAAAUCGUAAUGAAAUUGAAAUCAACUUACCCGAUGGAAUCGCUUUGUAGUUGACUUUUACCAUAGAUUGGGAUAAACUGAGCGUUAUCAGGAGACCAUUAAAGAUGGACAAAGCAAAUGGAAAGUUGAAAUUCAUGUUUAAAUCAAUCCCUUUGGUCGCUUUUAAAACUGUCCUGUCACUUGUGAUUAGCGUUUUUACUUUUUUUGCUGUGUUCACUGAUUUACCAGCCAAAGUAACAACAAAGUUUAUCAAUGUAAAAGAUUAACUGAUUGUUAACCAAGUAACUUAAGGUCCAGUCAGCCGUAUAAUUUGAUGUCCAAACUGGUUGACACGGGACAAUAAACCUGUCAAUCAAUGAGCUUUUUAUUUGUCACAUGCACAUUGAUGAUGUUUAACUAGAUUUACUGUUGCAUCUCAAUUUUGGUAUCAUCAAAGAUAUCAAAGUCAUUCUCAUCUUCAUAAGGAUCAUCAUCAUCGCCAUUAUUGAUCAAAUGUUCAUCUUGAUGUUUCCCUUUAAUUCACCAAUCAAACCAAUUUCAUCGUCCACUGAAUCCAAAAUUAAGAUUGUCUAUUGUCUUAACCAGUCAAACCAAUCUAGAAAUAAUAAGAGAAAUGGAAGAAAGAAAAAAAAGGAACAAAGUUAUCAAUGAUGAACAGAAUAACAAUUAUCAUGAAAAAUUGUUCACUUGACCAUUCAUCAUGUAAUCAUGGACCCAUUUGCAUUGCUAGACAAAAAGCCCAGCCUAACAGAUGAUUGACCAUUUGGAAUGUGCAAAAGAUGUAAUUUUAUUGGAACCAUUGGAAUCAAAAUUGAACAAAAUUGUUGGAAAAUGGUGAAAAGGAAGAAAAAAGUGUUUGAAGUAACAUGAUAUAAAUCAGUUGUCAACGUUUUGUUUCAACGAUUUUCUCACUCUCUUCCAUCCCUCAUCAUCUUGAUCUCAUCUAGUUUAAUCAGUUUCAACAAUGCCUUUAUUUGAUUCAACAAAUUAUUUUUAUUUUGACUGCAAUGAUAAUAAUAAUAGUAAUAAUAACACAUGAAAUUACAUUCAAUUCACGUUUACACAUUACUAAGUUACACUUGGCUAACAAACAGAUAGCAAAUGAAUAAUAAUAUUAAUGGGAAUGUUAAUAAUGAUGAUACAAUUGUGUGUAAUCAGUUUCUCCUUUUCUUGUUUAAUAAGUUGCUCUCAUAUAAAAUAAGGUGUUUUAUAAUAAAUAAAAAAAAGAAAGUUAUAACUCAAGAAACACAAAAGUGUCUUUUAUUAUAACUUUAUUUUCACCUUUACCAGUUUAUCAACUCACACACAGGUAACAAUGAGCUCGUGAAAAUAAUUUAUUAUUAUUGUCUUCACACUGAAUAAGAUGGCAAGGUUUUGUCAUGAAUUUGUCUCUUUAACAGAAGCCAACAAAUCGGAAGGAUUUCACUUGUUCAACACUGCACUUGGAUCAUCUUCAGAUUGAAAAUUUCAAACUUGGAACAAGAAAUGUUUUUAAAGAUUUAAAAAGGAUUGACGCAAAGAUCGCUUCAAGUCAUGGCAAGAAUUUUAUGGUUUUUGGAACCAAAAAAGGAACCUUUUUCGAAGCUGAAAUUUUCUUCUUUCCAGAAAACGUUUAUUGAGUUGAGAUUGAAGUAAAUGUUAUUUACAAUC